GAGUUUGAUCCUGGCUCAGGAUGAACGCUGGCGGCGCGCCUAACACAUGCAAGUCGAACGAGAAUCUACUGAAAGAGUUUUCGGACAAUGGAAGUAGAGGAAAGUGGCGGACGGGUGAGUAACGCGUGAGGAACCUGCCUUGAAGAGGGGGACAACAGUUGGAAACGACUGCUAAUACCGCAUAAGCCCACGGCUCGGCAUCGAGCAGAGGGAAAAGGAGCAAUCCGCUUUGAGAUGGCCUCGCGUCCGAUUAGCUAGUUGGUGAGGUAAUGGCCCACCAAGGCGACGAUCGGUAGCCGGACUGAGAGGUUGAACGGCCACAUUGGGACUGAGACACGGCCCAGACUCCUACGGGAGGCAGCAGUGGGGGAUAUUGCACAAUGGGGGAAACCCUGAUGCAGCGACGCCGCGUGGAGGAAGAAGGUUUUCGGAUUGUAAACUCCUGUCGUUAGGGACGAUAAUGACGGUACCUAACAAGAAAGCACCGGCUAACUACGUGCCAGCCGCCGCGGUAAUUC
rnacentral:rRNA from 1 species